rnacentral:rRNA from 1 species
CCUACGGGAGGCAGCAGUGGGGAAUAUUGGACAAUGGGCGAAAGACUGAUCCAGCCAUGCCGCGUGAGUGAAGAAGGCCUUAGGGUUGUAAAGCUCUUUCACCGGUGAAGAUAAUGACGGUAACCGGAGAAGAAGCCCCGGCUAACUUCGUGCCAGCAGCCGCGGAAUACGAAGGGGGCUAGCGUUGCUCGGAAUUACUGGGCGUAAAGCGCGCGUAGGCGGAUAGAUAAGUCAGAGGUGAAAUCCCGGGGCUCAACCCCGGAAUUGCCUUUGAUACUGUUUAUCUUGAGUGCAGAAGAGGUAAGUGGAAUUCCGAGUGUAGAGGUGAAAUUCGUAGAUAUUCGGAGGAACACCAGUGGCGAAGGCGGCAACCUGGCUCGAUACUGACGCUGAGGCGCGAAAGCGUGGGGAGCAAACAGGAUUAGAUACCCGUGUAGUC